GCAGGCUCUGGCCGAUCUGGCGGCGGGCCGCCGGCUUGAGCUGGGCGGGCGGUGGCGUCUCCGGCAGACGGCUCGGCUCCUUCGGCAUGACCC
rnacentral:tRNA from 1 species